CUGCUCAAUGAAUAAUAAUUUUUAAAUGGCUGCAGUAUUUAUAACUGUACAAAGGUAGCAUAAUAAUUAGUUUUUUAAUUGGAAACUAGAAUGAAAGAUUUAAUGAAAUUUAAACUGUUUCAAAUUUAUUAAAUAAUUUUUUUUUUUAAGUAAAAAAAUUUAAAUAAUUUUUAAAAGACGAGAAGACCCUAUAGAAUUUUUAAUUAAAUUUUUAUAAAAAAUUUUAAAUUCUUAAUUUAAUUGGGGAAAUUUUGAAAUUUAAAAAAUUUUAAUUAAAUAAACAUAAAGUUUUGAAAAAAAAAAUUUUUUAAAAAAAUAAAUUAAAUUACGUUAGGGAUAACAGCAUAAUUUUUUUAAAGUUCUUAUUUAUAAAAAAGUUUAUGACCUCGAUGUUGAAUUAAGAU
rnacentral:rRNA from 1 species